UUUCUUCCUGGAAAAGAGACUCCAACUGUCUUUUGUACAGUGCUUGAAACUCAUACCAUUAAUCACUCUUUGAGACUAAAGCUCUGAUAACCUGAGUGAAGAAUUGGUUACAAGGACGUUACAAUGCACCAUGCUACCUUCAGCCAUUUGUGCUUCUGCAUAAAUUGUUUUGACCGAUUAGCCAAUCAGUCACCAACAAGACCCAAAAGGAAUGAGAAUCUAAACAGAUUGUCACCAUUUGGUGGGUUUGAACACCAAGAGGAUAGAGCCUAGAGCAUUGUGGUCUGCUUUAAGACUUCUGAGAGGCAAUAAGGAGCCCUGAGAGAAGCUGAGGGCUUCAAGCAAUGAGAUUUGAGCCUACCUCCCUUCAUCAAAAGUGCAGCUAGAAAAACUUGGAGAAGCAACCAGAACGGGAGUUGGGAGGGUAAUACUUUUACAUCAAAACAACACUAGCUUUAUUGGCUGUAAUAAGAGCAAAGUAUGUAAGUAGAAAUGAUAUUAAUCUGUCAUGCAUAUCACUUCUCAAGUGGUUCCUCAACAAUAGUGUUAAUCAAGCUUUGCCCUACUUUUAUCGGAAACCUGGUGAAGAAUAGCUUUGACAUUUAUCAGACAUAGGACACUAAGAAAAUUGCCAUAUGUAUAAAUAAAUUUAUGCCUUGAAAAUGUUUGUGCCAUGCUCUGGGAAAGGGGGUCAGGAACAAAUGAGAGGGUAGAGGUAGAAGGGAAAGGUCUGCAGAAUGUGGAGGUGAGAAGGAAAGAAGAAAAGGGUUGGGCAUGGAGGGAGGUAACAUCAGGGCUAAACCUAAUAGGCCUGGGGAGACUCCAGAGAUUCAGGCAGUUAAGUUUCUCUCCUUUUUUUUUUUUCUGGUGUUCUCAUUUUCAUUUGGGUGGCUUUGGGCAAGUCUUUCUUAAUCUCAGAUGGUGCUAACACUUUCAUCCAACUGAGGAAUCAAUAACAUGACAGGCUUAAAAGUGUUUUGCUAACUAUAAAGUGAAACACUAAUGUUAUUUAGAGCAAGGAAGAAAAAGUAGAGAGCAUCUAAUAACUUACAAUGCUAUUAUGGUAAAAAAAAAAAAAGUUUGUCCACAGGAUACACAAAGAUGAAUGAGUAAAAAGUGAUUCAUCAAUUAUCCCAACCUAGAAAGACUCAGCCAAGGAUGGACAAAAUACUAAAUUCCUCUCUUAGCUAUAUAUGAAAUAGGUCAGGGAGAGGGUUUAUUUUACUGCUCUCCUUCUUAUAAAUGUGGGGUUCAGAAUUGAACAGUUGUUCCAUCAACCAUGACCCUAAAACCUGGGUAUGCUAGGAAUCUAGGAGAAGAGAUUCAAAUGUAUUUUCGCUUGGAUAUAAAAAUGGGGAGGAAAAGCCACAGUGGUGACAUGUCAUUUUGCAUACCUCAGAAUUCCAGAGAUCCCUAGCUUUUGAUUCUGUGCAGGCUCUCUGUGGUACUGGCUGUAUCAGCUGCUCUUAACCAUGAACCAGAACAUCUUGGAGAGGAGCUGCUAAGUGCCUACUGAGUCUGUAGCAUGGAAAACAUGUCUGCAACGUUAAUGGAGAGCUCCGGUUUCUGGGGCUGAGAGAUUUCAAUCACUGAUAUUGUCAGUGAGUGAGGGUGGCGGGGGCCAUGGUGUAUGCUUGUCUGGAAUAAAGAACAUCAGUUUUGAAAAAAAAAUCAAAAAACAAAAACAAAAACAACCUUGCUAAGUAGGUGCCAGGUGUGGUUGUGAGCCAUUAGUAGGUGUGUAAGCGGACUGGAGCUGGGCCGACUUCCUCCCACGCAACAAGGAGCCCUCCUGCAAGGCCAGGCAGCUCACCACAGCACCACUGCUCAGAAACAGGAGGUUAAUUAGCCCAGCACUUAAUGAGAGCGUCUGGAGGAACUGUUAAGAAAAUACUAAAAAAUAAAUAAGAUGGAGUAACGAUGGAAGGAAGGCAUAGACAUGCUCCGAAAUGGCUGGUAGAAGAAAUAAUAUGGCUGAGACAAAUUGAGAAUGACUGAGCAGCUGAAGCCUGGCCCCAGUGCUGCUUAAGGGGCACCCUCCUAAUGAACAAGCAGUGCAGAGAUGGAGGAACUUAUGAAGCUUGGCAGCUAUGGUGGUGGUGAAGUGUGUGUGCAUAUGUGUGUGUGUGUUGGGGGUAGGGUAGAAUGGGAGAUAGAGUUUCUUUUCAUUUUAAGGACUUUGGAAUCACAAGACUUCUAAGUCAAAGAAAUUAUUAUCUUCUAUCCCUAGGAUCAUUUCGAUUUAUUUCCUAUUAAGCUUGGCACUUAUCAAAAAUAAAUAUUUGUGGAAUAAAUGAGUGGAUUAAAAAAA
ensembl:lncRNA KC6 keratoconus gene 6